GUGAGGAAUUUUGCGCAAUGGCCGCAAGGCUGACGCAGCAACGCCGCGUGGGUGAUGAAGGCCUUCGGGUCGUAAAGCCCUGUCAGGUGGGAAGAAAGGCCUGGAGAGGAAAGGUUUCAGGUUUGACGGUACCACCAGAGGAAGCACCGGCUAACUCCGUGCCAGCAGCCGCGGUAAUACGGAGGGUGCGAGCGUUAUUCGGAAUUACUGGGCGUAAAGCGCGUGUAGGCGGGGGGACAAGUCUGAUGUGAAAGCCCUGGGCUUAACCUGGGAAGUGCAUUGGAAACUGUUUUUCUUGAGUACUGGAGAGGAAGGGGGAAUUCCCGGUGUAGAGGUGAAAUUCGUAGAGAUCGGGAGGAAUACCAGUGGCGUAGGCGCCCUUCUGGACGGUAACUGACGCUGAGACGCGAAAGCGUGGGGAGCAAACAGGAUUAGAUACCCUAGUAGUCC
rnacentral:rRNA from 1 species